rnacentral:rRNA from 1 species
AUACGGAGGAUCCGAGCGUUAUCCGGAUUUAUUGGGUUUAAAGGGUGCGUAGGUGGUUUGAUAAGUCAGCGGUGAAAGUUUGCAGCUUAACUGUAAAAAUGCCUUUGAAACUGUCGGACUUGAGUGUAAAUGAGGUAGGCGGAAUGCGUGGUGUAGCGGUGAAAUGCAUAGAUAUCACGCAGAACUCCGAUUGCGAAGGCAGCUUACUAAGUUACAACUGACACUGAAGCACGAAAGCGUGGGGAUCAAACAGGAUUAGAUACCCUGGUAGUCCACGCAGUAAACGAUGAUUACUAGCUGUUUGCGAUACACAGUAAGCGGCACAGCGAAAGCGUUAAGUAAUCCACCUGGGGAGUACGCCGGCAACGGUGAAACUCAAAUGAAUUGACGGGG